CUUGGCUCGGGGUCUCCGCUCUGGUAAGCUUAUGCUCUCCUCUCAAGAUGCAUUAAAGCUUUACUGCAGAAGGAUCCGAAUGUCCUGUGUGGUUCUUGCUGGCGAGGCCAUAGCGCGGGACAUCUGGUGCCGAAACCCGGGAACUUGUUAACAUCGCCGGCACUGCGGAGACCCCUCUAACGGGGCGGAUUCAGAACUGCAGGGUGGAUGAAGAGAAUCCCCUAUGGAUGCCAAAAAGACUCACCCAAAGAGCCCCUUCGGACCUUCAAAAGUUGGAACUCCACCCUCUCCCAGGGAGUUGAGAGCCACUAUUAUCCAGAUUAACUCCUGUCCUUGACUGAGGGAUUGUCAUCAUGGAUCGCUUCAGCUGUCUCCUAUUUUAAGGAAUGGGUGGGGAUGGGAUUGUUUGGUGCAGCCGUUUGCUGCGGAUUGAUGUUGCUUCUCUGGCUGGUCUGUAGGCUCAGGGCUCAAACUAAGAGAGACAAGGUGGUUAUCGCCCAAGCGCUUGUAGCUUUGGAACAAGGGGCUUCCACUGAUAUUUGGCUAACUAUGCUUAAGCAAUAGGCCACCGGCCAGACAGCUCUUGCACACCCGGAGCCUAGGCUCAUUGCACAGGGUAGAGUGUCUGGUUUGAGCAGCCCAUGAGGGAUGUUGAGCAAGGCAUCGCACAGAGAGUUGCCCAGUAUGCAGGCUUCUCUGGGAGGCAUGUUGUCCUGCAUAAGGGUUGCCUGCCCUAGUCUCCCUUUCCCAGAAAAACGGCAGAGGACAGGUCGAGAGCGCUUCGGGUCAAGCUAACAGCCUGAUGGCGACUCUUGUACACAGUCUUAAUGUUUGAUUGGGAAGGUACAACCUCUGCCUCUAUCCCUCAACAUAUGGGUGACCUAUUUGCUUGUAAAAAUAUAAAGCCUUAUCAUUAAUUAAUAAAAAAAGGGGGAGAUGUAGGGAGCCGUCCCUGCAUUCUCCAUUACAAUGAUGGCGCCUGAAGGCACUGAAUGUAAAUUAUUGUGCAGGCGCUGGGUAAUUUUCCAUUUCCUUGAUCUCUGCCUAUUCCGUGGCUCAUAUGGCCUGAGGAGCUGAAGCCAAUCAUAGGGUGACACGUCCCAGGCAGCGGCUGCCAGCCUUUAUUAGGGGACGGGAUUCUUGGCUCGGGGUCUCCGC
rnacentral:lncRNA from 1 species